rnacentral:rRNA from 1 species
AUUGAACGCUGGCGGCAGGCCUAACACAUGCAAGUCGAGCGGGGUUUUCGGACCUAGCGGCGGACGGGUGAGUAAUGCGUAGGAAGCUACCCGAUAGAGGGGGAUACCAGUUGGAAACGACUGUUAAUACCGCAUAAUGUCUACGGACCAAAGUGUGGGACCUUCGGGCCACAUGCUAUCGGAUGCGCCUACGUGGGAUUAGCUAGUUGGUGGGGUAAUGGCUCACCAAGGCGACGAUCCCUAGCUGGUUUGAGAGGAUGAUCAGCCACACUGGAACUGAGACACGGUCCAGACUCCUACGGGAGGCAGCAGUGGGGAAUAUUGGACAAUGGGCGCAAGCCUGAUCUAGCCAUGCCGCGUGUGUGAAGAAGGCCUUCGGGUUGUAAAGCACUUUCAGUAGGGAGGAAGAGUUGAGUGUUAAUAGUACUCAGCUUUGACGUUACCUACAGAAGAAGCACCGGCUAACUCUGUGCCAGCAGCCGCCGUAACAC